AGGACGGGACGCCGGUUAGAGAGCAGCUGGGAGGAUAACAGACUAUGUCCUGAUCAUACACAGGAAACAUGUAGUAGCAUCAUGUAGAGCUGAACCAGUCUAAAGGUAACAGACUAUGUUAUAGCCAGUCUAAAGGAGGAUAACAGACUAUGUUAUAGCCAGUCUAAAGGAGGAUAACAGACUAUGUUAUAGCCAGUCUAAAGGUAACAGACUAUGUUAUAGCCAGUCUAAAGGUAACAGACUAUGUUAUAGCCAGUCUAAAGGAGGAUAACAGACUAUGUUAUAGCCAGUCUAAAGGUAACAGACUAUGUUAUAGCCAGUCUAAAGGUAACAGACUAUGUUAUAGCCAGUCUAAAGGAGGAUAACAGACUAUGUUAUAGUCAGUCUAAAGGUAACAGACUAUGUUAUAGCCAGUCUAAAGAUAACAGACUAUGUUAUAGCCAGUCUAAAGGUAACAGACUAUGUUAUAGCCAGUCUAAAGGAGGAUAACAGACUAUGUUAUAGUCAGUCUAAAGGUAACAGACUAUCUUAUAGCCAGUCUAAAGGUAACAGACUAUGUUAUAGCCAGUCUAAAGGAAGGAUAACAGACUAUGUUAUAGCCAGUCUAAAGGUAACAGACUAUCUUAUAGCCAGUCUAAAGGUAACAGACUAUGUUAUAGCCAGUCUAAAGGUAACAGACUAUCUUAUAGCCAGUCUAAAGAUAACAGACUAUGUUAUAGCCAGUCUAAAGAUAACAGACUAUGUUAUAGCCAGUCUAAAGGUAACAGACUAUGUUAUAGCCAGUCUAAAGAUAACAGACUAUGUUAUAGCCAGUCUAAAGGUAACAGACUAUGUUAUAGCCAGUCUAAAGAUAACAGACUAUGUUAUAGCCAGUCUAAAGGAAGGAUAACAGACUAUGUUAUAGUCAGUCUAAAGGAGGAUAACAGACUAUGUUAUAGUCAGUCUAAAGGAGGAUAACAGACUAUGUUAUAGUCAGUCUAAAGGUAACAGACUAUGUUAUAGCCGGUCUAAAGGAGGAUAACAGACUAUGUUAUAGCCAGUCUAAAGGUAACAGACUAUGUUAUAGCCGGUCUAAAGGAGGAUAACAGACUAUGUUAUAGCCAGUCUAAAGGUAACAGACUAUGUUAUAGCCGGUCUAAAGGAGGAUAACAGACUA